ACGUCUUGUGCUAACAGAUUCACGGCUCUCACUGGCUGUUUCACUCAGCUUCACACUUGUUCGCUCGUUUGCUACUUGUUGUGCAUUCUGGGAAAUAUCAAGCUCUGAGUUAAUCUUCGGAUCUGCACUUGUAGUGACCGAGCUUUCUCUCUGCCCAACCUUCGGAAAAGAAAUACGUCUCACUCUCUCUACUAAUUCUCAUUUCCUCUGCUUUUCUUGUGAUGCAGACUCGAUUUAUGGAAGAACUGGCAUCUGUACACUGUCGUGACUGGGAUUUGGAAGUUGCUGAACUCGGAUUCAAUAAUUUGGGAGUUUUGCGACUUUUGUGGAGGACAUACUGAUUGUUCCCAGGUAAGACUCAAUCUGCCAAUGGAAGCAGCAGUAACACCCAAGUAAGAGUUCACAUUUUACUCUCGUUCCACUUGCAUCACAAGAAUGUGGAGUCUUGUUGGUGCCCUUAACUGAUAUUAUGAGCCAUGUGAUGGACGGUUUGAUGCUGAGGCAAAUGUUGUUGUAUGUUUUAUUAUUAUUAUUAUUAUUAUUCUGCCUCGCACUGAUAAUUGAGACAACAUAGAAUGGCCUGGUGGCUAUGGCUCUCGUUUCACACAGCGAGAAUCCGGGUUCGAUUACCAGCCAGGGUAGAAACAUUGGGCGUGUUUCUUUACACCAGUUGUCUAUGUUCCCCAUCAGUAAAAUGGGUACCUGGGUGUUAGUCGACUGGUGUGGGUCGCAUCCUGGGACAAAACUGACCUAAUUUGCCCGAAAUGCUCUGCAUAACAAGUGGCUUUCUAUGCAGUAGUAUGUCAUUGAUGUCACCUAGACCUGUAUACCUUGUACAUGUACUUGCAGAAAUGAAGAUAUACUAUAUUAUAUAUUUUGUUUUAGAUGGCAGGCCUUGUGGGUUGCACAGUAAAUUGUACAGGGCUUGAGUGAGCCACAUAGUCACCAAAUUGUGCAGAUUUCGGCAGGAUAUAGGUUUCUCUUGAGGC